rnacentral:rRNA from 1 species
AUUGAACGCUGGCGGCAGGCCUAACACAUGCAAGUCGAGCGGAUGAAGGGAGCUUGCUCCUGGAUUCAGCGGCGGACGGGUGAGUAAUGCCUAGGAAUCUGCCUGGUAGUGGGGGAUAACGUCCGGAAACGGGCGCUAAUACCGCAUACGUCCUGAGGGAGAAAGUGGGGGAUCUUCGGACCUCACGCUAUCAGAUGAGCCUAGGUCGGAUUAGCUAGUUGGUGGGGUAAAGGCCUACCAAGGCGACGAUCCGUAACUGGUCUGAGAGGAUGAUCAGUCACACCGGAACUGAGACACGGUCCAGACUCCUACGGGAGGCAGCAGUGGGGAAUAUUGGACAAUGGGCGAAAGCCUGAUCCAGCCAUGCCGCGUGUGUGAAGAAGGUCUUCGGAUUGUAAAGCACUUUAAGUUGGGAGGAAGGGCAGUAAGUUAAGACCUUGCUGUUUUGACGUUACCAACAGAAUAAGCACCGGCUAACUUCGU